CAAACGGAUAAAACCAUGGCCAUGGCCACUACCACCACCACCCCACUCCUCACCACCCCACUCCUCUCUCCAACCACCACUACCCUCCACACAAUUACAAGAAUACCCUUCCUCUAUACCACUCCAAAAUCCAACAACAGGCCAAUCACCAAGCUCCACGUGUCCUCCAACCCAGUUACUUCAUCAUCAACCACCACUACAUCAUCCAAACCCAAUCAAGAAUCCAUCUUUUUUGAUGGUGGAGCUCACUAUGGUGACCUUGCAGCUAACCUUAUUCUUGGUUUCACUCUUCUUUGGCUCCCAUUAACACUAGCUGCAGUCUUUAGAGCUUUUUACUUGAGGUACAGGUUUACUAACUUGAGAGUUACUGUUAUUUCCGGCUUAACAGGUCAAGACCGGAGCGAUUUCUCGUAUAAAGUGAUCAAAGAUGUUCAGGUUGUGCCAAGAUUCAUUGGUGAAUGGGGUGAUGUGAUCAUCACUUUGAAAGAUGGGACUGUGGUGGAUUUGAGAAGUGUUCCUAAAUUUAGAGAGAUUGCUAAGUACUGUCUUUCUAUGGCUGAUAAAGAAUCAUCUGGGGGUUUGAAGGAGACUACUACUGAUGGGCCUAAAGGCUUUUGAGAAAAAUAUGUUACAGGUUUAUCAAUUUGAGGGUUACUGUAAUCUCCAGGUUAGUGGGUCAAGACUGGAGUGAUUUCUCGUACAAAGUGAUCAAAGAUGUUCAGGUUGUGCCAAGAUUUAUUGGUGAAUGGGGUGAUGUGGUUAUCACUUUGAAGGAUGGGACAGUGGUGGAUUUGAGGAGUAAAUUUAGAGAGAUUGCUAAGUACUGCCUUUCUAUAUCUGAUAAAGAGUCAUCUGUGGUUUUGAAGGAGACUACUACUGAUGGGCCUAAAGGCUUUUGAGAAAAAUAUGGUACAGGUUUACCGAUUUGAGGGUUACUGUAAUCUCCAGGUUAGCGGGUCAUGACUGGAGCUAUUUCUCGUACAAAGUGAUCAAAGAUGUUCAGGUUGUGCCAAGAUUCAUUGGUGAAUGGGGUGAUGUGAUCAUCACUUUGAAAGAUGGAACUGUGGUGGAUUUGAGAAGUGUUCCUAAAUUUAGAGAGAUUGCUAAGUAUUGUCUUUCUAUGGCUGAUAAAGAAUCAUCUGGGGGUUUGAAGGAGACUCCUACUGAUGGGCCUAAAGGAUUUUGAGAAAAUAUCGUUAGUUU